UAAUCUAACAUAACCCGAUACUCUCGUACCUAAUAUCUGCAUGCCAAAUGUCGUUGUAUUUUCGACUCGUCGAUGCAAAGUAAGCUCCCUGUGACUAAUUAGGCAAACUAUCUUUUGUUCCAGAUUCAGUGGAGCUUGCAACGGGAAUGUGAAGGAAACUGCAAUUCCGGAGGAUGUAUAGAGACGUGGGUGUGAAUGCCGUUGAGAAUCCGGUUCGAGCAGAGCAUAGUCGACUUGAAGAUCUAGCGGAGCUUGCGACUGGAGCGUGAGGGCAGCUGUAAUUCCGGAGGAUGUGGAUGUGGGUGCGAAUGCCGUACCGGAGGAUCCGGUUCGGGCAGUGCAGAGUCGACUCGAAGACCUUGAGAGCGGAGUGUGGUCGACUCUGCGUUUGGUGAGUACGAGAAAUGGGAAAAUAUUUAUGGUGGUG